AAUCCCCUGCGGUGUUCGUCAAGGUCGUAAAUUCCUUUGAACCAAUGUCCAUGCGACAUGGUCGCCGCCCAUCGACGCCGCUGUUGCGAGCGCUCCUCGUCGAGCGCACCUGAUGCGGCAGGAACGCGACCUCCCUGAACCCAGGUUCAGGAUGCCGGCCUAACGGCACAGGCGGGGGACUG
rnacentral:other from 1 species